GAUGAACGCUGGCGGCGUGCCUAAUACAUGCAAGUCGAGCGAACGGACGAGAAGCUUGCUUCUCUGAUGUUAGCGGCGGACGGGUGAGUAACACGUGGAUAACCUACCUAUAAGACUGGGAUAACUUCGGGAAACCGGAGCUAAUACCGGAUAAUAUUUUGAACCGCAUGGUUCAAAAGUGAAAGACGGUCUUGCUGUCACUUAUAGAUGGAUCCGCGCUGCAUUAGCUAGUUGGUAAGGUAACGGCUUACCAAGGCAACGAUGCAUAGCCGACCUGAGAGGGGGGGCGGGAAGAAUGGAAAUGAGACAAGGUAAAGACGAAUGAGGGAGGAAGCAGUAGGGAAUAGUAGGAAAUGGGCGGAAGAAUGAAGGAGAAAAGAAGAGGGAGUGAGGAAGGUAGUAGGAUCGGAAAAAUAUGUUAUUAGGGAAGAAAAUAUGUGUAAGGAAAUGCGCACAUAUUGAAGGUAAGGAAUUAGAAAGAAACGGAUAAGUAAGGG
rnacentral:rRNA from 1 species